AUUUGUUAAACAUCUAAGUCCCUCUGAAAUUAUCCUCAACUCUAGCUAGCUGUUUCUUUGCAAUGCAUAUCAUCACUGUUAAUCAAAUUUGGUUCAUCUGCUAUUUAUUUUCAUUUCCUCUUCAUGAAGACAUUGGAUUUGUUGAUGGCCACUGUACUUUAGGUUAAAGCCAUUAUGCAUUCUUAACCUGUAGUCCUUUCACCUAGUGUAAGCUAUAUAAAGAACUUCCGUACUUGAUUUUGGUCAACUCCUUGCAAAAUCUUAAUCAGGUUGUUUUGGUUUUUUGUGAGUAUUAACUUUGAGCUUAGUUGUUUAGUUUUGAUUUGUUGAUUUAAUUGAAUGAGAACCAAAACGAGUAUGCCUCCGAUUCACCUCUACUAACCGGAACCUAAAUUUGUAUGUUAGCCAUGUUCUCGCUCUUGUUCAUCACUUAUUGUGAUUCAUGAGGUGGCUCUAAAGUAGGUCAUGAGAAUGAAGGCUCUGAAACCAUGCAUCUAAGAGAAGCUCAUUCAUCAUGCCGUCAAAAUCCAUCUGAAACCUAUGAGAGUACAAAGUUAAGAUAUUAAUUGAGGUGCCCACUAGGAUGGACCAUUAAUAAUUUGGUCUACCGGUGCACCAUGAUUUAUCACCAUUAGAUCUUAGCAUCUUGGAAUAUUCUUUAAUCGUAUGGUCAAGAUUUGAUGGAUGAAAAAAGGGUAGAAAUGUAAAUGUCAAACACUUGUUCCCCACCCCUUCUCCUUGCCGGAACUGAAUCACCACUGAAUCCCUAAAUCUCUGUCCAUGAGCACUACUUCCAUGAACAAACACUUCCAACAUAUUCUUUUGAAGACAAAUCCAGAAUCAAGAAAGAUUAAAGAAGAGUUGAAAAGGACUAUUGGCCUGUUUGCAUCAGAGUAAAGUGCAAGAAAGAAGCAGAUAUUUUUAUACUCUUGACAUUUUCACAACAAGUGAACUUUAGCUUGAGAUUAAAAAAAAUAAGAACAAGAAUCUGUCUUCCGUUUAUAUCAAAGAUGUUUUUUCAACCACUAUUUUCUAUGCUCUACAUUUAUGGGAUCCAUAUAUACAAAAAUCCCAUUAUACAAAGCAAAAAUACAGUUCAGCAACAACAACUAUAAAAAAGAAAAAUAAAAAAUUGACCGAAACAGAACUGAUAUAACCAGUCAAUAACAACAACCAGCAACCUCAAAAAACAAUCCUUCUACCCAGUAUGCCUUGGCACACCACAAAAGGAAACAGGGAAGAAUUAGAUUUUGGUUCAAAACGGCGUCGGAUCAGGCAACCUCCGGCGGAGAAGGGACGUUGAGGUUAAGAUCCAAGAGUCACUGUGCGAGGCGGCGGCGAGUGUAAAAUCAGCCACCGGGAGAUCGAACCCGCACAUCUCGCGGUGACCAAUGCUCAGCAUGGUCUUCGGACGAGCAAACGCGUUGAAGAACAUCACGGGACGUGCAACCGAAAACGCAAAAGCUCCGUUGCCAGAACCAGCGUGGGCGGAAGCUCGAAUCAGAGAUGUAGGUGAAGAGCUCGAUCUGGGCACAUAGGGAGUAGGUCGUCAGAAGGAUGAAGGUGAAGAGCUCGAUUUGGGCACACAGGGAGACCAUCGCCGGAGAGAUGGGCGGCAGGGAUGGGAGGGGCAGAGGGGAGAGUGGGAAGAGAAGGAGAGCAAUUACAGAGCAAGUGAAGGGAACAUGAAGAAGAAAAGGGUAAAAAUAAGUGAAAAACCAAAAUUGUCCUCUGUUCCACCGGUGGACCAAAAUACAAUUAGCCCACCCUAGUGGGCACACCAUUAAUUGACAUACCAAGAUUGUUGACAUUCAAACCAAAGAAAGUGAGGACCACACCUAUCUAUACCUUAUUAUUUAGGUAGCCUCUUACACUGCUUUGAGUGACCAUGCAUUGCUGCGAUAGCUGCAUUUUUCUCUGCUUGUUUCUUACUGUUGGCAGGUUCACCAGUAAAUAUAUAUUCUAACGCAAGAGGCGUGGUGACACGCGUAAACAUAAGAAAAACAUGGAACCACUAUGGGCGGAAAACUCUACUCACCAACACAGCUGCAUUCAUAGGAAAUCAAAUCCGAGAUUUUGCUCAGGUUAGAACAACUCGGUGUCAGUUGAUAUAUGCACUUGGUGGUUGCAGAAUCAAUUCUGAGAAUCAGCUUCUGGGUCCAGAAUCGGUUCUGAUAAUAGAGAAGCUGAUUAAAACAUGUUAUGAAUAGAUGAGGUAUGAGGGUACACAAAGAUAAAAGUAAAACAAGGUUCCACUGCAAUAAAUGAAUGUGAAUAACCAGUCGUGUGUUUUUGGGUAUCUCUAUCUCAAUUGUGACAUAUACUUGCAGUUUUCUGAUUGUAGUGUCUCUAGAAAAGAGGACCUACCUCAUAAAUAACUAUUAUAUACUUGGGAUGAACUGUGGUCAGCUUUAAUUCUGUCCAAACAUUAAACAAACACCAAAUAGCACCUCAUGAGUCCUUCUGCAGUUCCGUUUAAGACUGCAACUCAUAAAAAUGGUUAAAGAUGAUUAUUCUCGGGCUCUGUCUGUUUAAUUACUGAAGCAAAGAGUUAAGCCCUCUUUUCUAGUCAUAUUGAGAUUAUAAGAUUUCUUAUUUACUUCUAACAUUUGAUUCAGUGGUUUUAAGUGCAAAUUAAAACACAUCACAUUUUACUCUGCUGAUAAAUACAGUUCAUUUCCCAAGGCAGAUAAUUUUCUGAAAUUCAUAGUUUACUGAUAGCCCACUCAAGUAUUUCCUAUUGAGUAGAUUUUGGGUUAAUUUCACUGGCACUAUUUUGUUUUCCACGAUUCCCACCUUUCAGAGGGAAGCUAUAUUGCUAUAAGAUAUCAUUUUGCUAUCAUGAGCUCUAAUUUUCCUGUCUCAUUAUGAUACUAUUUCCAACUUCCAAGGUUAUCUACUGCUUGGAUCUUUGCAUGAUGAUGGUUAAAAAGUGGAUUUUGGUGGACCUGCUCAAUCUGAUUAAGAAAAGGGGAACUCUUCUCAGACCUUGGUGGAUUUAACUUGUGGUUCUCUUUUCACAAUGAACCUUGUGCAAUUGGUCUCCAAGAAGCACUUGGAUAUUGAAAAGGAAGAAGAUGACAAGAUGUAUCUAUUAUGGAGAAUGGGAGCACGAGUCUGUUUGGCUUAUGUACAGAGGGAAGAUGUAUUGCGGUGUGGUGGCACUGGGAAUGUCGAUGAUGGAGAAAGGGGAUUCCAGCAGAGGUUGCACCAUUUGUUCGUAAGCAUGGGAAAGCUCCAUGGACCUUAAUGGGCACAUAUGGAAAAAAGACUCUCAGAUACUUGCACCUGAAAAACCCAAGAAAGUAGCAAAGUUUGGAUCUGGCUGCAAACAAUUCUGCAGAGAACUAAUUAAAGCAAAUCAUUACUUGUGGUUCAGGUUCACAGGUUUAGAUGUUUGAGAGGUGCAAUUGGAUAUUUCUGGGUAUUGCAUGAUGUUUUUGGGGGUGAUUAUGUAAUCUUUAAUACAUUUUGGCUUUCUCUAAAUCUUUUUUG